rnacentral:lncRNA from 1 species
AGAAGACCCACCCAACUGGAAUAUCAAGAAAUAGCGUGAUGUUGUCCUUCAGAUAAAUUGAAUUUAUUGUAUCUGGAUGAGAUCCUGGCUCUUCAUUUACCUGGAAAAGGACAGCCUGUGCUGUGGGAAUGGAAGAAGGGAAGAAGCUGAUGUCUGUAAGAGCUUUAGGUCAGAUGGAACCUUGCAUAAGAAGAGAAAAGAGGCAAAAAUUAUUGGAAAGGAAACCAGGUCUAUUACUAAUUUUAGCUUGGUCGCUGCUUCCAUUUCCCUCCUACUUGAGAUACUUUGCAAAAAUAUGUGCAACUCCAUGAAAUUUGAGGCAACCCUGUGCUGGUAACUUUCACCUAAACAAACAGGAGGCUGAAGGUAAUUAUUCCAGGUCCUUAGAAUGGGAAAAUCUGGGUUCAUCAUCCCUUUGCUCUCCCAUGACGCUCAUCUUGGUUAUCCUCCAGUCCAUCCGAUUGUGAAACACGGAAGAAUCAACUUAGAAGGGAGCCUUAGUUGAAAGGCUCCAUGUAAAUGAAAAUUUAAUUAUUAUGAAACCACCUCAAAGAAUACGCCCUCGUUUCACCUGUCCUAUUUUGCUGGUACCUCAGCCUGAGAAAGCUGGCAGAACGAAGAGGGCUUGUUGGAGGAAUACAGAGUUCAGGCUUAGGGCCCUGCUGAGUGCAAGGCAGCAGGUACUCAUGGUGAGCAGCCAGACCUCCACACAUCCUGAAUCCAGUGCUGACUUUUCCUGUCAUUCCUCCCUCCUUGCCAGCAAAGGCCAUGUGCUUUCAGCUUCUUAAAAACUGUUCCUGAUUCUGCCCAUUGCCACAAUACAUGGUGGGGGAAGUGGACAAGGAAAGGAUGUGUCUGAUAGAUUUGCAGUUUGGAAGGGUACAGGGAAUAGGGAUACCUUGAUUUCCCAUGCAUUGCCAUCAAACUGAAAAACCCCAAGUUUAAGCUUCCUCAGCUUUCCAGCUUUAGCCACGAUUUUUACUUUUUUUUCAUUUUAAUUUUAAUUUUUAUUUUUUUUAAGGAGAGCAAGCUACUCUUGCCCAGGCUUUCCCUUCUCCUUUUAGCCUGGAGAAGAGGAUUGGGAUGAACUUAUCACUCUCUAGUGAUAAGAUUUCUCCUCUGAAAGGAGGCUGUAGCCAGGUGGGGGUCAGCCUCUCCUCCCAGACAACCAGCGACAGGACAUCAGGACAUAAGUCUUAAGCUGUGCCAGGUGAAAUUCAGGUUGGACAUGAGGUAUUUCUUCACAGCAAAGGUGAUACCUGGAAUGGGCUGCCAGGGAGGUUGUGGAGUCACCAUACCUGGAGGUGUUUAAAUAAGAGUGGAUGUGGCACUUAGUG